rnacentral:tRNA from 1 species
GGAGUCGUAGUUCAGUGGUAGAAUAUCGGAUUCCAAUCAUCCGCCGGUCGCAGGUUCAAUCCCUGUCGACUUCA